AUACGGAGGGUGCAAGCGUUAUUCGGAAUCACUGGGCGUAAAGGACGCGUAGGCGGGUUGGCAAGUCAGAUGUGAAAUCCUACAGCUUAACUGUAGAACUGCAUUUGAAACUGCUAACCUAGAGUAUGGGAGGGGGAGAUGGAAUUAGUGGUGUAGGGGUAAAAUCCGUAGAUAUCACUAGGAAUACCGAAAGCGAAGGCGAUCUCCUGGAACAUAACUGACGCUAAGGCGUGAAAGCGUCGGGAGCAAACAGGAUUAGAAACCCUAGUAGUCC
rnacentral:rRNA from 1 species